rnacentral:rRNA from 1 species
AUGCCAUUUGCUCCGUUCGUAGGAGUGAAUAAUCAUUUUCAGAGCAUAUUGUUUGGGUGUGCAUUACUUAGAGAUGAGACAGUUGAGUCUUUCAAUUGGUUGUUCUCUACGUUCAGGAAGUGCAUGAAUGGAAAGGAGCCGCAGUGCAUACUUACCGAUAAUUGCCAACAGAUGGCCGCCUCUAUUAAAAAAGUUUUUCCAAAAGCGUCUCAUCGUGUUUGCAAGUGGCAUAUACUUAAGAAGGUGAGGGAAAAUUGUGGAAAUAUCUACAGCACUAGAGAAACAUUCAAAGAAGACUUUCAUAGGGUGUUAACUCAGAUGUUGACAGUAGAUGAGUUUGAGGGGGCAUGGAAGGAAUUAAUUUCCGAGUAUAAGCUGGAAGAUUGUGUGUAUCUGAAGCAGAUGUGGGAUAUCAGGGAAAAGUGGGCAUUUCCUUAUUUUGGGCAGUUGUUCUAUGCUGGAAUGACAACUACACAGAGGAGCGAGUCAGUUAAUUAUGUCUUGAAAAGGUUUGUUAUGCCGGCCUCUUCGAUGAAUGGUUUCGUAAAGAAGUAUGAGAGAUUCUUCAUAGACAGAUUACAGAUGGAAGAUUAUGAGGAAUUUCAUACUAAACACGACAAAGUUGUUAUGAAGACUAGAUCACCAUUGGAAAGACAUGCUUCAAAGGUAUAUACUCGUGGUGUAUUCAACUUAUUUGUGGAGCAGCUAUUGGAAAGUUUGUCCUUCAAGGUCGUCGCGACUGAUGAGGAGAGUGUCUUUAAAAUAGUACGUAUUGGGGGUUUUUCUCGGAACAUCUGGCGACGGCACCGUUAUGAAGUGUAUGCAGACCUUGAAAGCAUGACAUUUUCAUGUGUAUGUAAGAUGUUUGAGCACAAGGGUAUACUGUGUUGUCAUGUGCUUAGUGUCCUGAUACAUGAUGGUUGCGCUGAGAUCCCAGAGCAGUAUGUCUUGAAGCGAUGGACGAAGGAUGCUAGAGACCGUGUGCCUUCAUUCCUGGAGGGUUACAAAGAUGAUGUUGAUGCCGCUGCUUCUCAGACGUACAGGCAUCUGGUGCUCCAUACGACAUCAGAGGAGGUAAAUCGUCUUGGUAACAAAUACAUGAAGGCUUACAAGGUGACCAUGGAAGACCUAUCUCAAUUGGUGGAAAAACUGAGAAAGGUCUGUCUGGAGGAAGAGCAGGCUAUUCUGGAAGGGGCAGAAGUUGAGGGUGAUGUACAUAAUCAGACGCAUGAUCGUACAACAGCUGAUGGUGAUAGAACGCCAGGAGAAGGAGAUAGUACUCCCCAUGUCCAUGAAGUCAGUGAAGGCCCAUUCGAGGAAGGGGUGAGUAUGGAAGAUAUUUUGCCACCUGUUAAUAAUCGUCCAAGAGGCAGGCCAAAAACUACAAGAUGGAAAACUGGUGGGGAAGUAGCUAGUACAAAGAAGAGUGGUAAGAAAGUGGGUGGCAACAGUGAUAGCACAAAGCAAGGUAGAGAUGCUUCUGGGAAGAAAGAGUCUGACAUCAUUAGGUAUUGUGGAGAAUGUGGUGACCCGGGACAUAAUAAGACGACAUGUGGGAAGCCAUCCACGUACAAGAGGAAGUAUGUUUACAAGGAAUAG